AUUGAACGCUGGCGGCAUGCUUUACACAUGCAAGUCGAACGGCAGCACAGCAGAGGUAACUCUGUGGGUGGCGAGUGGCGAACGGGUGAGUAAUACAUCGGAACGUACCCUGUUGUGGGGGAUAACUACGCGAAAGCGUAGCUAAUACCGCAUACGCCCUGAGGGGGAAAGCGGGGGACCCUAAAUAGAGCGCACUGGGGAGUGCGUUGUAUUUAGGGCCUCGCGCAAUAGGAGCGGCCGAUGUCGGAUUAGCUAGUUGGUGAGGUAAAGGCUUACCAAGGCGACGAUCCGUAGCUGGUCUGAGAGGAUGAUCAGCCACACUGGGACUGAGACACGGCCCAGACUCCUACGGGAGGCAGCAGUGGGGAAUUUUGGACAAUGGGGGCAACCCUGAUCCAGCCAUGCCGCGUGAGUGAAGAAGGCCUCGGUUGUAAGACGUCUUUCGGUACGGAAAGAAAGUACGCGCAGGUAAAGUAAAUACUGCGUGGAUGACGGUACCGUAAGAAGAAGACACCGG
rnacentral:rRNA from 1 species